CAAUAGCGUAUAUUUAAGUUGUUGCAGUUAAAAAGCUCGUAGUUGGAUUUCGGUUAAGAGCGACCGGUCCGCCGUUUGGUGUGCACUGGUUGGUUUUAACUUCCUGUAGAGGACGUGCUCUGGGUUUAACGACCUGGACUCGGAGUCUACGUGGUUACUUUGAAAAAAUUAGAGUGUUCAAAGCGGGCUUACGCUUGAAUAUUUCAGCAUGGAAUAACACUAUAGGACUCCUGUCCUAUUUCGUUGGUCUCGGGACGGGAGUAAUGAUUAAGAGGAACAGUUGGGGGCAUUCGUAUUUCAUUGUCAGAGGUGAAAUUCUUGGAUUUAUGAAAGACGAACUUCUGCGAAAGCAUUUGCCAAGGAUGCUUNCAUUA
rnacentral:rRNA from 1 species